rnacentral:rRNA from 1 species
UAGGGAAUCUUCCGCAAUGGACGCAAGUCUGACGGAGCAACGCCGCGUGAGUGAUGAAGGUUUUCGGAUCGUAAAGCUCUGUUGCCCUAGACGAACAGCAAGGAGAGUAACUGCUCUUUGUGUGACGGUAUAGGAGAAGAAAGCCCCGGCUAACUACGUGCCAGCAGCCGCGGUAAUACGUAGGGGGCAAGCGUUGUCCGGAAUUAUUGGGCGUAAAGCGCGCGCAGGCGGUCAAUUAAGUUGGGUGUUUAAGCCCGGGGCUCAACCCCGGUUCGCAUCCAAAACUGGUUGACUUGAGUGUAGGAGAGGAAAGUGGAAUUCCACGUGUAGCGGUGAAAUGCGUAGAGAUGUGGAGGAACACCAGUGGCGAAGGCGACUUUCUGGCCUAUAACUGACGCUGAGGCGCGAAAGCGUGGGGAGCAAACA